rnacentral:rRNA from 1 species
UACGUAGGGUGCUAGCGUUGUUCGGAAUCAUUGGGCGUAAAGCGCGUGUAGGCGGUUAGUUAAGUCAGAUGUGAAAUCCCUGGGCUCAACCGAGGAAGUGCAUUUGAAACUAAUUAGCUAGAAGACGGUAGAGGAAGGUGGAAUUCCAAGUGUAGAGGUGAAAUUCGUAGAUAUUUGGAGGAAUACCGGUGGCGAAGGCGGCCUUCUGGCCCGAUACUGACGCUGAGGCACGAAAGCGUGGGGAGCAAACAGG